AGUUCUGAUUAGAUUUAAGAAUUUGGCAUAAAACUUUGAAUAUUUUUAAACAAAUUUCUAUCAAAAUGGUUCUCCCCAAAAAGGCCUUUCCAACUGUCUGUAAACCCUUUCCACAUCGAAUCUCUUUCAGCGAUUGAUUUAUGGUGCUUACUUUCCGUUUUAUGCGGCCAACGUCCAAUUAAUACAUAGUAGAGUAGAGUAGAGGAGUACGAAACGAAUCGACUCGACCAGAUAUACAUCUUCUUGGAUAUAACAUACACUAGACGACGACGCACAAUCGAAAGAGUCAACUAUGUGCGAGGCGGGUAAAUGGAGAGAUCUCUCAGGCAAUAAAUAUAUAAAAGUCAAAGAUGUGUGCACAAAAGAGGGAACAGAGGCGUAACCAGAGAGGGGGUAUGGAUAGUUUCAGCUUGAUUGGAUCGAACAUAUGUCAGCCACAUCCACUCCGCUGGAUGCUGCACAUCGUCCUCCAUUGUCCAGCGCUAAUAGAGACAUACAACGCCAACUGGGAAUUGAUCGGCAGGCAGCAUAUCCCAGCGAGGAGACGCAACCGGGGGCUUCUUCGUUAACAGCAAAAAGUUUGAAUUUUCGAACGUUUCGUUAGUUUUCGUCGGAUGUCAUAAACUUUUAUGAUCCAAAGACGAGGACAAUGGGACGGCCAGCAGCAGCAAGCAGCUGUAAGCAGAAGUCAAGAUGAUUGGGCAUUAUGCUGCCGAGACCCAAAACCCAGUCCCAGUCCCAGGCCGGGACUCUGGGUCUCUUUCUUUUUAAUGUUCAUAGGGGUCGUCGCUGCUGCUUUGCACGAUCCUCCGUCUCCUCCUCCCCCCCCAUGGGUGCCAAUUAAGAUACGAAGAAGCGGUGCCUGGAGGGGGGGACGGAUGCGAGACUCUGCUCUGGACCCUAUUAGCAGCCAUAUUGGUGCAGGCACUGAGAAAAAUCAUACAGAAAAUAUAAUGAAAAUAUUAUGGAAAGGUGUGCAAAUUUUUGUUUAAAAA